GGAGUCUAGCAUGUGCGCGAGUCAUUGGGAUUUGAAUAAACCUAAAGGCGCAAUGAAAGUAAAAGCUCGCUUUAUGCAAGCAUAGGGAAGAUGGGUGAAGACUUUAUGUUUUCGCUCCGCACUCCCGGGGCGUCUCAUUCUCAUUGCGAGAAGAGGCGCACCAAGAGCGUACAUGCUGGGACCCGAAAGAUGGUGAACUAUGCCUGGUCAGGACGAAGUCAGGGGAAACCCUGAUGGAGGUCCGUAGCGAUUCUGACGUGCAAAUCGAUCGUCGGAACUGGGUAUAGGGGCGAAAGACUAAUCGAACCAUCUAGUAGCUGGUUCCCUCCGAAGUUUCCCUCAGGAUAGCUGGCGCUCGUCUAGUACGAGUUUCAUCCGGUAAAGCGAAUGAUUAGAGGCAUUGGGGUCGAAACGGCUUCAACCUAUUCUCAAACUUUAAAUGGGUGAGAUCUCCGGCUUGCUCGAACUUGAAGCCGCGAGUAUCGAAUCAAUGAGUGCCAAGUGGGCCAUUUUUGGUAAGCAGAACUGGCGCUGUGGGAUGAACCAAACGCUGAGUUAAAGCGCCUAAAUCGACGCUUAUGGGACACCAUAAAAGGCGUUGGUAACUUAAGACAUCAGGACGGUGGCCAUGGAAGUC
rnacentral:rRNA from 1 species